AGUGAACGCUGGCGGUAGGCCUAACACAUGCAAGUCGAACGGCAGCACAGUAAGAGCUUGCUCUUACGGGUGGCGAGUGGCGGACGGGUGAGGAAUACAUCGGAAUCUACUUUUUCGUGGGGGAUAACGUAGGGAAACUUACGCUAAUACCGCAUACGACCUACGUGUGAAAGCAGGGGAUCUUCGGACCUUGCGCGAUUGAAUGAGCCGAUGUCGGAUUAGCUAGUUGGCGGGGUAAAGGCCCACCAAGGCGACGAUCCGUAGCUGGUCUGAGAGGAUGAUCAGCCACACUGGAACUGAGACACGGUCCAGACUCCUACGGGAGGCAGCAGUGGGGAAUAUUGGACAAUGGGCGCAAGCCUGAUCCAGCCAUACCGCGUGGGUGAAGAACGCCUUCGGGUUGUAAAGCCCUUUUGUUGGGAAAGAAAAGCAGCAGGUUAAUACCCCGCUGUUCUGACGGUACCCAAAGAAUAAGCACCGGCUAACUUCGUG
rnacentral:rRNA from 1 species